GAUGAAGAACUUAGCGAAAUGCGAUAAGUAAUGCGAAUUGCAGAAUUCAGUGAAUCAUCGAAUCUUUGAACGCACAUUGCGCCCGCUAGUAUUCUGGCGGGCAUGCCUGUCUGAGCGUCAUUUCAACCCUCGCCCCCGGCUUUUGCUGGGAGCGGUGUUGGGGAUCGGCCGCCCGUCACUGGGAGGCCGGCCCCGAAAUAGAGUGGCGACCACGCCGUGUGCUCCUCUGCGUAGUAGUAAAUCACCUCGCAGGCGGACAGCGGUGCGGCCUGCCGUAAAACCCCCAACUCUUUCUGGUUGACCUCAGAUCAGGUAGGAAUACCCGCUGAACUUAAGCAUAUCAAUAAGCGGAGGA
rnacentral:misc_RNA from 1 species